rnacentral:rRNA from 1 species
AGSGGGGGGRRAAAARAACUAACGAGGAUUCCCAUAGUAACGGCGAGUGAACAGGGAAAAGCCCAGCGCUGAAUCGCUUGAUCACUGAUCAUUGCGAAAUGUAGCGUAUAAGUGUAACUGUUCGGUGAUUUUACACUUACUCAAAGUUCCCUUGAGUGGGGCUAUAAUCCAUAGAGGGUGCUAGGCCUGUACGGGUAGGUGGAUAGAUUGCUGAAACUGGCUACACUUUAGAGUCGAGUUGCCUGGGAACGCAGCUCAAAGUAGGUGGUAAACCUCAUCUAAGGCUAAAUAUGACUACGAGACCGAUAGCGAACAAGUACCGUGAGGGAAAGUUGCAAAGAACUUUGAAGAGAGAGUUCAAGAGGGCGUGAAACCGCUGAGAAGGAAGCGGAUAGAGUUGACGAAACACAAUGGCAUUCAUCUAAUCAACGUUAUUGAAUGCCAUACAGUUGUACCUGCUAAUGCUAGUUUUUGGUAGGCAAUUGUAUGGUAGCUAGAAAAUUUCAAUAGCUGUUCGGUUGGUGCUUUUGCCAUUGAUAAGCGCUGAGAGAUUCGCUAUGUUAUGCUAAAACUGGAGUAAAGAGGACUAUUGUUCUUUGGCUUAACUGUAGAACCCUUUAGCCAGCGCAUUUUUUUAGCAUAUCCAUGGUGAAUUACGCAAGCUUUAAGAAAUCGCCCGCUAGUUUUGGCGCAAUCCUUCUAUUAUGUAAUUGUGAAAAUAGUUAUGAAGCUUGGUGUACUCUUGCACUUCUUUAUAAUUUAUUUUUCAAUUCAUUGAUAGUUGUUGUUGCGUUGGCGAUUCUAUCUCAGUGUAAAAGUCGACCACCUAUCCGACCCGUCUUGAAACACGGACCAAGGAGUUUAGCAUAUGCGCAAGUCAUUGGGUGGUAAACCUAAAGGCGUAAUGAAAGUAAAGAUUGCUUUUUACAGCAGUUGAUAUGGGAUCUACAUAUAUAUGUUUAAUGUCUAUGUAGCGCACCAUAGUCCCGUUCCAAUUGCAUGCAAUGGGGCGGAGAUAGAGCGCAUACGCUAAGACCCGAAAGAUGGUGAACUAUGCCUGAGCAGGAUGAAGCCAGAGGAAACUCUGGUGGAAGUCCGAAGCGGUUCUGACGUGCAAAUCGAUCGUCUGACUUGGGUAUAGGGGCGAAAGACUAAUCGAACCAUCUAGUAGCUGGUUCCCUCUGAAGUUUCCCCCAGGAUAGCUGGAGUUUAAAAUUAUACAGUUAUAUUCGGUAAAGCGUAUGAUUAGAGGAAUUGGGGGCGAAACGACCUCAACCUAUUCUCAAACUUUUAAUGAGUAUGAAGUCUCGCUUGCUUAAAAUUAUAUAUUGAAGCGUAGACAUUGAAUGUAAGCUCCAAGUGGGCCAUUUUUGGUAAGCAGAACUGGCGCUGUGGGAUGAACCAAACGUUAGGUUAAGGUGCCAAACUUCCCGCUCAUGAGACCCCAUGAAAGGCGUUGGUUGAUAUAGACAGCAGGACGGUGGCCAUGGAAGUCGGAAACCGCUAAGGAGUGUGUAACAACUCACCUGCCGAAUCAACUAGCCCUGAAAAUGGAUGGCGCUUGAGCGGGAGACCUAUACCUAACCGUUGUAUGGCUUGGGUGAAAUGUAAGUUCCUCACCUGGCCGCAACGAGUAAGAGGGUCGCAGUGGUUUGCGUUGAAGGCUUUGGGCGUAAGCCCAGCUGGAGCUUCCACUGGUGCAGAUCUUGGUGGUAGUAGCAAAUAUUCAAGUGAGAUCCUUGAAGACUGAAGUGGAGAAGGGUUCCACGUGAACAGCAGUUGAAUGUGGGUCAGUCGGUCCUAAGACACUGGCUAAUGCUUUAAAGAAAAACAAGUGAGGGAGUUUCCAAACCCGUCUUGAACAUCGAAAGGGAAACGUGUUAAUAUUCUCGUACCUGGACACGGAGAUAAUCCAUACACUCACAAGGUGUGUGGUAUAGCGCGGUAACGCAAACGAACUCGGAGAUGCUGAAUAAAGCCCGAGCCAGAGUUCUCUUUUCUGGUUUAGGAACGGACUCCCUGGAAACGGUUCAGCCGGAGAUAGGGACGUUGUUUCCGUAAAGCGCCACGGUUCCUGUGGCGUCUCGUGCGCUUUUAUUCGGACCUUGAAAAUCCGGGGGAGGCUAUUUGAAUUUCGUGCCAGACCGUACCCAUAUCCGCAUCAGGUCUCCAAGGUGAACAGCCUCUAGUCGAUAGAACAAUGUAGGUAAGGGAAGUCGGCAAAUUAGAUCCGUAACUUCGGAAUAAGGAUUGGCUCUAAGGACUAGGCCGCUCGGGCUGUAACGUGAAGUGAGUGCGGUUUGAUCCAUGCAGUGCGCUGGCUCGUGUAAGCGGGCGGCGUUCGGCUAGCGUUUGAAUCGUCUUAUGGACCGCUACAGCUGCGCACCAUUGUUCUUUCGCGUGCAAUUUUGGUGCUUCGAUCGGCGCUAAAUAGUUAACUUAGAACUGGCACUGACAGAGGGAAUCCGACUGUCUAAUUAAAACAGAGGAGACAGAUGGUCUUUGCAGACGGUGACUGUCUCUGAUUUCUGCCCAGUGCUCUGAAUGUAAAAGUGAAGAAAUUCAACCAAGCGCGGGUAAACGGCGGGAGUAACUAUGACUCUCUUAAGGUAGCCAAAUGCCUCGUCAUCUAAUUCGUGACGCGCAUGAAUGGAUUAACGAGAUUCCCACUGUCCCUAUCUACUAUCUAGCGAAACCACAGCCAAGGGAACGGGCUUGGCAAACACAGCGGGGAAAGAAGACCCUGUUGAGCUUGACUCUAGUCCGACUCUGUGAAGAGUCAUGAGAGGUGUAGCAUAAGUGGGAGGCGUAUGCCAACAGUGAAAUACCACUACUUUCAUCGAUUCUUUACUUAUUCGGUAGAACGAGAAUUGAGCCAUUAAAGGCUCUUCAUUCUGGUAUUAAGUGCAGCCACUCGGUGGCAGUAUGACUCGCGCCGAAGACAGUGUCAGGCGGGGAGUUUGACUGGGGCGGUACAUCUGUCAAACAAUAACGCAGGUGUCCUAAGGCUAGCUCAGAGAGGACGGAAACCUCUCGUAGAGUAAAAGGGCAAAAGCUCACUUGAUCUUGAUUUCCAGUACGAAUACAGACCGCGAAAGCGAGGCCUAUCGAUCCUUUUGAAUUAGAAGGUCUCUAGCAAGAGGUGUCAGAAAAGUUACCACAGGGAUAACUGGCUUGUGGCAGCCAAGCGUCCAUAGCGACGUUGCUUUUUGAUCCUUCGAUGUCGGCUCUUCCUAUCAUUUGCGAAGA